GUCCUAGCUGUAAACGAUGGGCACUUGGUGUCGGGGUAUUGAGUCCCUCGGUGCCGGAGUUAACACGUUAAGUGCCCCGCCUGGGGAGUACGGUCGCAAGACUGAAACUCAAAGGAAUUGACGGGGCCCGCACAAGCGGUGGAGCAUGUGGUUCAAUUCGACGCAACGCGAAGAACCUUACCGGGGCUCGAACGGUAGCUGCGACCUUUGGAAACAGAGGGUCCUCUUCGGAGGCGGCUAUCGAGGUGCUGCAUGGCUGUCGU
rnacentral:rRNA from 1 species